rnacentral:rRNA from 1 species
UGGGGAAUAUUGGACAAUGGGCGCAAGCCUGAUCCAGCAAUGCCGCGUGUGUGAAGAAGGCCUUCGGGUUGUAAAGCACUUUUAUCAGGAGCGAAACGCUGUCGGCUAAUACCCGGCGGAACUGACGGUACCUGAGGAAUAAGCACCGGCUAACUUCGUGCCAGCAGCCGCGGUAAUACGAAGGGUGCAAGCGUUAAUCGGAAUUACUGGGCGUAAAGCGUGCGUAGGCGGUUUCUUAAGUCUGCUGUGAAAUCCCCGGGCUCAACCUGGGAAUGGCAGUGGAUACUGGGAGGCUAGAGUGUGUCAGAGGGUGGUGGAAUUCCCGGUGUAGCGGUGAAAUGCGUAGAGAUCGGGAGGAACAUCAGUGGCGAAGGCGGCCACCUGGGACAACACUGACGCUGAGGCACGAAAGCGUGGGGAGCAAACAGGAUUAGAUACCCUGGUAGUCCACGCCCUAAAGCGAUGCGAACUGGAUGUUGGUCUCAACUCGGAGAUCAGUGUCGAAGCUAACGCGUUAAGUUCGCCGCCUGGGGAGUACGGUCGCAAGACUGAAACUCAAAUGAAUUGAC